rnacentral:rRNA from 1 species
GUAGGGAAUUUUCGUCAAUGGGGGCAACCCUGAACGAGCAAUGCCGCGUGAGUGAGGAAGGUCUUCGGAUCGUAAAGCUCUGUUGCAGGAGAAAAACGGCAGAUAUAGGAAAUGAUAUCUGAGUGAUGGUAACCUGCCAGAAAGUCACGGCUAACUACGUGCCAGCAGCCGCGGUAAUACGUAGGUGGCGAGCGUUAUCCGGAAUGAUUGGGCGUAAAGGGUGCGUAGGUGGCCUUAUAAGUCUGGAGUGAAAGGCGGCAGCUCAACUGCCGUAUGCUCUGGAAACUGUGAGGCUGGAGUGCAGGAGAGGGCGAUGGAACUCCAUGUGUAGCGGUAAAAUGCGUAGAUAUAUGGAAGAACACCAGUGGCGAAGGCGGUCGCCUGGCCUGUAACUGACACUGAAGCACGAAAGCGUGGGGAGCAAAUAGGAUUAGAAACCCUAGUAGUCC